rnacentral:rRNA from 1 species
GACGAACGCUGGCGGCGUGCUUAACACAUGCAAGUCGAACGGAAAGGCCCUGCUUUUGUGGGGUGCUCGAGUGGCGAACGGGUGAGUAACACGUGAGUAACCUGCCCUUGACUUUGGGAUAACUUCAGGAAACUGGGGCUAAUACCGGAUAGGAGCUCCCGCUGCAUGGUGGGGGUUGGAAAGUUUCGGCGGUUGGGGAUGGACUCGCGGCUUAUCAGCUUGUUGGUGGGGUAGUGGCUUACCAAGGCUUUGACGGGUAGCCGGCCUGAGAGGGUGACCGGCCACAUUGAGACUGAGAUACGGCCCAGACUCCUACGGGAGGCAGCAGUGGGGAAUAUUGCACAAUGGGCGGAAGCCUGAUGCAGCAACGCCGCGUGCGGGAUGACGGCCUUCGGGUUGUAAACCGCUUUCGCCUGUGACGAAGCGUGAGUGACGGUAAUGGGUAAAGAAGCACCGGCUAACUACGUG